CUUAAAUUGAAGAGUUUGAUCAUGGCUCAGAUUGAACGCUGGCGGCAGGCCUAACACAUGCAAGUCGGGCGGUAGCACGGGGGAGCUUGCUCUUUGGGUGACGAGCGGCGGACGGGUGAGUAAUGUCUGGGAAACUGCCUGAUGGAGGGGGAUAACUACUGGAAACGGUAGCUAAUACCGCAUAACCUCGCAAGAGCAAAGAGGGGGACCUUCGGGCCUCUCGCCAUCAGAUGUGCCCAGAUGGGAUUAGCUAGUAGGUGAGGUAAUGGCUCACCUAGGCGACGAUCCCUAGCUGGUCUGAGAGGAUGACCAGCCACACUGGAACUGAGACACGGUCCAGACUCCUACGGGAGGCAGCAGUGGGGAAUAUUGCACAAUGGGCGCAAGCCUGAUGCAGCCAUGCCGCGUGUGUGAAGAAGGCCUUCGGGUUGUAAAGCACUUUCAGCGGGGAGGAAGGCAGUAAGGUUAAUAACCUUGCUGAUUGACGUUACCCGCAGAAGAAGCACCGGCUAACUCCGUGCCAGCAGCCGCGGUAAUACGGAGGGUGCAAGCGUUAAUCGGAAUGACUGGGCGUAAAGCGCACGCAGGCGGUCUGUUAAGUUGGAUGUGAAAUCCCCGGGCUUAACCUGGGA
rnacentral:rRNA from 2 species